rnacentral:rRNA from 1 species
AUACGGAGGAUCCAAGCGUUAUCCGGAUUUAUUGGGUUUAAAGGGUGCGUAGGCGGACUUUAUAAGUCAGCGGUGAAAGUUUGCAGCUUAACUGUAAAAUUGCCGUUGAAACUGUUAGUCUUGAGUGUAAAUGAGGUAGGCGGAAUGUGUUGUGUAGCGGUGAAAUGCUUAGAUAUAACACAGAGCACCAAUUGCGAAGGCAGCUUACUGGGAUACAACUGACGCUGAGGCACGAAAGCGUGGGGAUC